rnacentral:rRNA from 1 species
CUACGUGCCAGCAGCCGCGGUAAUACGUAGGUGGCAAGCGUUGUCCGGAAUUAUUGGGCGUAAAGCGCGCGCAGGCGGAUCAGUUAGUCUGUCUUAAAAGUUCGGGGCUUAACCCCGUGAUGGGAUGGAAACUGCUGAUCUAGAGUAUCGGAGAGGAAAGUGGAAUUCCUAGUGUAGCGGUGAAAUGCGUAGAUAUUAGGAAGAACACCAGUGGCGAAGGCGACUUUCUGGACGAAAACUGACGCUGAGGCGCGAAAGCCAGGGGAGCGAACGGGAUUAGAUACCCCGGUAGUCCUGGCCGUAAACGAUGGGUACUAGGUGUAGGAGGUAUCGACCCCUUCUGUGCCGGAGUUAACGCAAUAAGUACCCCGCCUGGGGAGUACGACCGCAAGGUUGAAACUCAAAGGAAUUGACGGGGGCCCGCACAAGCGGUGGAGUAUGUGGUUUAAUUCGAUGCAACGCGAAGAACCUUACCUACUCU